rnacentral:rRNA from 1 species
UGGGGAAUCUUGGACAAUGGGGGCAACCCUGAUCCAGCCAUGCCGCGUGCGGGAUGAAGGCCCUCGGGUUGUAAACCGCUGUCAGUUGGGAGGAAGGCUCCGUGAAGAGCGGAGCUUGACCUAUCUUCAGAGGAAGUCCGGGCUAAGUUCGUGCCAGCAGCCGCGGUAACACGAACCGGACGAACGUUAUUCGGAAUUAUUGGGCUUAAAGGGUGCGUAGGCGGCGCGGUAAGUGAGGUGUGAAAGCCCACGGCUCAACCGUGGAAUUGCGCUUCAUACUGCCGUGCUAGAGGGAGACAGAGGUAAGCGGAACUGAUGGUGGAGCGGUGAAAUGCGUUGAUAUCAUCAGGAACACCAGUGGCGAAAGCGGCUUACUGGGUCUCUUCUGACGCUGAGGCACGAAAGCUAGGGUAGCGAACGGGAUUAGAUACCCCCGUAGUCC